GACGAACGUUGGCGGUGCGCUUUAUACAUGCAAGUCGUGCGCGAAAGGCCCCUUCGGGGGCCGAGUAGAGCGGCGGACGGGUGCGUAACGCGUGAGCAACCUGCCCUGGAGUGGGGAAUAACUCCGAGAAAUCGGGGCUAAUACCGCAUGAUGUCGCAGCUCCGCAUGAAGCUGCGCUUAAAGUCGGCCUCUGCUUGCAAGCUGGCGCUCCAGGAUGGGCNCGCGGCCUAUUAGCUAGUUGGCGGGGUAAUGGCCCACCAAGGCUACGAUGGGUAGGGGCGUGAGAGCGUGGCCCCCACA
rnacentral:rRNA from 1 species